UCUGGCGGCACUAGCGCGGUGGUCCCACCUGACCCCAUGCCGAACUCAGAAGUGAAACGCCGUAGCGCCGAUGGUAGUGUGGGGUCUCCCCAUGCGAGAGUAGGGAACUGCCAGAC
rnacentral:rRNA from 7 species